rnacentral:rRNA from 1 species
UGUCCAGACUCCUACGGGAGGCAGCAGUUAGGAAUAUUCGGCAAUGGGGGAAACCCUGACCGAGCGAUGCCGCGUGUGAGAUGACGGCCCUAUGGGUUGUAAAUCCCUUUUAUUUGGGAAGAAUUGUAAGCAUAGGAAAUGAUGUUUACUUGACGGUACCUUUUGAAUAAGCCCCGGCUAACUACGUGCCAGCAGCCGCGGUAAUACGUAGGGGGCGAGCGUUAUCCGGAUUUAUUGGGCGUAAAGCGUGCGUAGGCGGCUUGUUAAGUCCAGAAUUAAAGCCCGAGGCUUAACCUCGGUUCGUUCUGGAUACUGGCAAGCUUGAGUAUGGUAGAGGCAAAUGGAAUUCCUAGUGUAGCGGUGAAAUGCGUAGAUAUUAGGAGGAACACCAGUGGCGAAGGCGAUUUGCUGGGCCAUCACUGACGCUGAGGUACGAAAGCGUGGGUAGCAAAUAGGAUUAGAUACCCUAGUA